AAUGGAGGACAUCAGGUGGAUCCAGGUCUGGGUGUUGGGCAGAACCACUAGGUCCUGGAGAACAGGUAAUGGAGGACAUCAGGAGGGUCUGGAUGUUGGGCAGAACCACUAGGUCCUGGAGAACAGGUAAUGGAGGACAUCAGGAGGGUCUGGAUGUUGGGCAGAACC